GACAGAGGUCCCGAGCGUUAGGCGGAAUCACUGGGCUUAAAGCGUGUGUAGGCGGAUUGGUAAGUACCUUGUGAAAUCCCACGGCUUAACCGUGGAACUGCUUGGUAUACUGCUUAUCUUGGGCCACUUAGGGGUUACCGGAACAAACGGUGGAGCGGUGAAAUGCGUAGAUAUCGUUUGGAACGCCAAUGGUGAAAACAGGUAAACUGGGAGUGUGCCGACGCUGAGACACGAAAGCCAGGGGAGCGAACGGGAUUAGAGUACC
rnacentral:rRNA from 1 species